rfam:Gossypium raimondii Chr10_contig_598, whole genome shotgun sequence.
AAACCAUGGUGUGGGCACUUUUUAAGAAGUUCCUUGUACCUUUCUCAUGCAUCGUACAAAUUUUCCUCAUCCUAUUGAGUGAAAGUUUGAAUAUCCUUCAAAAGUCU